rnacentral:rRNA from 1 species
AUUGAACGCUGGCGGCAUGCUUUACACAUGCAAGUCAAACGGUAACAGGCCUUCGGGUGCUGACGAGUGGCGAACGGGUGAGUAAUACAUCGGAACGUGCCCAAUCGUGGGGGAUAACGCAGCGAAAGUUGCGCUAAUACCGCAUACGCCCUGAGGGGGAAAGCGGGGGACCGCAAGGCCUCGCGCGAAUGGAGCGGCCGAUGUCAGAUUAGCUAGUUGGUGGGGUAAAGGCUCACCAAGGCGACGAUCUGUAGCGGGUCUGAGAGGAUGAUCCGCCACACUGGGACUGAGACACGGCCCAGACUCCUACGGGAGGCAGCAGUGGGGAAUUUUGGACAAUGGGCGCAAGCCUGACUCACGCAUCGCCGCGUGGCCGGGAACGGAACGGUCCGUUCGGGUUACGGUAACCGU